CCAGUGACGUUCAACGGCCGCGGUAUUCUAACCGUGCAAAGGUAGCGUAAUCACUUGUCUUCUAAAUAAAGACUAGUAUGAAAGGCAUCACGAGAACUAAGCUGUCUCCUUUUUCCCAUCAAUGAACCUAAUCUCCCCGUGAAGAAGCGGGGAUAAAAAUAUAAGACGAGAAGACCCUGUGGAGCUUAAAACAAUUUUAUGUUUUUGGUUGGGGUGACCGCGGAGAAAAACUUAUCCUCCGUAAUGAAAAAUAAGUUACAACUUUACGCAUUAAAAAAUUAACAUACCGACCCAAAUGUAUUGAUCAAUGAACCAAGUUACCCCAGGGAUAACAGCACAAUCCACUUUGAGAGCCCCUAUCGACAAGUGGGCUUAUGACCUCGAUGUUGGAUCGAGGUAUCCUAGUGGUGCAGCCGCUACAAAGGUU
rnacentral:rRNA from 1 species